rnacentral:rRNA from 1 species
GACUGGGAUAACUUCGGGAAACCGGAGCUAAUACCGGAUAAUAUUUUGAACCGCAUGGUUCAAAAGUGAAAGACGGUCUUGCUGUCACUUAUAGAUGGAUCCGCGCUGCAUUAGCUAGUUGGUAAGGUAACGGCUUACCAAGGCAACGAUGCAUAGCCGACCUGAGAGGGUGAUCGGCCACACUGGAACUGAGACACGGUCCAGACUCCUACGGGAGGCAGCAGUAGGGAAUCUUCCGCAAUGGGCGAAAGCCUGACGGAGCAACGCCGCGUGAGUGAUGAAGGUCUUCGGAUCGUAAAACUCUGUUAUUAGGGAAGAACAUAUGUGUAAGUAACUGUGCACAUCUUGACGGUACCUAAUCAGAAAGCCACGGCUAACUACGUGCCAGCAGCCGCGGUAAUACGUAGGUGGCAAGCGUUAUCCGGGAAUUAUUGGGCGUAAAGCGCGCGUAGGCGGUUUUUUAAGUCUGAUGUGAAAGCCCACGGCUCAACCGUGGAGGGUCAUUGGAAACUGGAAAACUUGAGUGCAGAAGAGGAAAGUGGAAUUUCCAUGUGUAGCGGUGAAAUGCGCAGAGAUAUGGAGGAACACCAGUGGCGAAGGCGACUUUCUGGUCUGUAACUGACGCUGAUGUGCGAAAGCGUGGGGAUCAAACAGGAUUAGAUACCCUGGUAGUCCACGCCGUAAACGAUGAGUGCUAAGUGUUAGGGGGUUUCCGCCCCUUAGUGCUGCAGCUAACGCAUUAAGCACUCCGCCUGGGGAGUACGACCGCAAGGUUGAAACUCAAAGGAAUUGACGGGGACCCGCACAAGCGGUGGAGCAUGUGGUUUAAUUCGAAGCAACGCGAAGAACCUUACCAAAUCUUGACAUCCUUUGACAACUCUAGAGAUAGAGCCUUCCCCUUCGGGGGACAAAGUGACAGGUGGUGCAUGGUUGUCGUCAGCUCGUGUCGUGAGAUGUUGGGUUAAGUCCCGCAACGAGCGCAACCCUUAAGCUUAGUUGCCAUCAUUAAGUUGGGCACUCUAAGUUGACUGCCGGUGAU